UGGGCUCUCACAGCAGCACCAGACAGACAUACUGGGGAGGGUCCCUGCAGCUGUUGUUCCCACAACCUGUCAUCCGCCUUGGAAAAGGACGAUUUCGUCAGGGAGCCCGGGGCGGGGGCUGGCCUGCUCCCCAGCCCCUCCCGGCUGCAGACAUGAUAUAUGCUCAUUUAAUCCCACAGGAGAGAAGGCAAUCUGAGCACAUGGAUCACCCUUAAUAGCAGCCAUGCUCUCUCCAGGCGUCGCCUGCCACACCCAGCACUCAAGAUGGGGCAACACACUGGGCUGGUGACAACAUCUGGAACAGUGGAGAUGGCUGAGAGCCAGAGGAGGUGACUCCAGGCUUACUCCCCACUAAACCUAAUCUAUGAAGGAACAGAAUCUCCACACAAGGGGCUCUAAAACCUUCACACCUCCCCCCUGUCCCCAAACCCAGAAGGGUGUGAGAGAUAAACAGCUUUGGUUCCAGUUCUAUUCAGGCUCCAGGGCAAGCCAACCUGUGUCUUUGCCUUUCUGGGCUGUGAAACCUCAAUAAAUGACACCCAUCUCUACCAUGGAGCCACACCCC
rnacentral:lncRNA from 1 species